AAGUCGUAACAAGGUAUCCGUAGGUGAACCUGCGGAUGGAUCAUUAACAAAGGAUUUCUAUCCAAUGUAUUGUGAACUGUUUUGAAAACACAGUCAGUGUGUGUAGCUUGAAUAUUACUUGGUGUUGCAUAAAAAGAAUAUUUGUAGUUUCAACUUUCAUGCUGGCUGUACCAACAAUCAAACAUUUUUCAAACUGACGUCUAUACUUUAGUAAUAACUAGAGAUAACUUUUAGCAACGGAUCUCUUGGCUCUC
rnacentral:misc_RNA from 1 species